GACGAACGCUGGCGGCGUGCUUAACACAUGCAAGUCGAACGGAAAGGCCCUGCUUUUGUGGGGUGCUCGAGUGGCGAACGGGUGAGUAACACGUGAGUAACCUGCCCUUGACUUUGGGAUAACUUCAGGAAACUGGGGCUAAUACCGGAUAGGAGCUCCUGCUGCAUGGUGGGGGUUGGAAAGUUUCGGCGGUUGGGGAUGGACUCGCGGCUUAUCAGCUUGUUGGUGGGGUAGUGGCUUACCAAGGCUUUGACGGGUAGCCGGCCUGAGAGGGUGACCGGCCACAUUGGGACUGAGAUACGGCCCAGACUCCUACGGGGGACAGCAGUGGGGAAUAUUGCACAAUGGGCGGAAGCCUGAUGCAGCUACGCCGCGUGCGGGAUGAAGGCCUUCGGGUUGUAAACCGCUUUCGCCUGUGACGAAGCGUGAGUGACGGUAAUGGGUAAAGAAGCACCGGCUAACUACGUG
rnacentral:rRNA from 1 species